AUUCUGAAGCUGAGAGCUAGCAGGUCCAUUGAGCUGGCACAUUUCUAUCUGCAUCUCCCCUGGUCAUCCUGUGUCUCUGUGUCUGCCCAUGGCCAUAGUCGCUGGCUUGGCUAUUUGAGGAUUGAUUCAGGCUUAAUUUCAGAGAACUCACCAUUUCUCACUCUCCACUGGAGAAAAGAAUAUCAUGAAAUUCUAGUGGGAUAAGAGCAGCAUGUGUAGGAAAACAGAUGUCUGACUUCAUCAGGCUUAUUCGUGUGGGUGUCUGGGUGCAUGUAAUUGCACCUGUCAAAGAGGCUUGAAAACUGCCUAUUAUUUGAUGCACACACCUCAGAACAGUGACGAUCAGCAAAGAAAAUCUGCUUUCCCAGAAUGAUAGCAGCAAUAGCAGCAGCAAUAAUAGAAAACCAACCAAAUUAUUGUUAAGGCCACUACUAAAUCAAUGCAUCUCAAAUACUGUGAUUACAUUUUUGUAUAAAACGAAUGUGAAUUUUGGCAAUGGUCACACUUUCUAAAACAACUGUAAACCCGGGGUGUCUAUAGGUAGAACAGGGCUAAGCCUUAUCUUAACCUCUUUAUUUUGAUGGAAAGAAAAAUCCCCAAAAAAGCCAGGGGUUUAAUUGCGGAUGAUGACAUUAGGCCAAACGUACACAAUUAAUCAGGGAAAAAGCUAAUAUUACAAUUAUUUCCUCUCUAAAUCUGGAGACUUAUCCCCUUCACCAAAUGGCUUUUUUCCCCUUCCCAAAUAACUCUAAACUCCAGUGAUCUUUCUCAUUUAAAUAACAUAGGGAUUUAGGGACACAACAAAAAUAUCAUACAUUUUAAAUGUUAAUAUAGAUGUCUUUCUGCAUUCACAUAUAUAACAUAUCUACCAUUAUCUUUAUUCAAUGUUCAAUUUUAUGCCCUACAUGCAAACCAUAUCCAGUCAUUUUCUCAUGUGGCAGAACAAACAAGCAAGCAAGUUAUCUCAGAAACUAGUGCAAAGAUAUUUAGCUUUUCAUAAUUUAAAAUAAAUCUCUCUCUCUCUCUCUCUCUCACACACACACACACACACACAAGGUUGCUGGUGGAAAUUAAUCUUCAUUUUAAUUUUCCAGGUCACUGAAUAUUUGUCUAUAGCCUCCUGCUACUUUUCCGUGAUUAAAAACUUCUUUCUCUGCUUGAAUAUUGCUUCAAUUUUCAGUGUACAUAUGUUCUGGAUUUACUCAAAGUUUAAAGUAGAGGCCUAACUUGCAAAUCCUACGAAAGGAAUGUGUAUGUGGAAUUUGGGGGUAAAUUCUCAGAUAAACUUCGAAGAAGGUGAGACCUCUUCAGCCACAGACUGAAUACCAGUAGUUAUGCCCCAGGCUGCAUUCCAGAACGGGAGAGCUUUAGUUAAUUGCAGGCUUUUGUUUUGCUAAGAGGUAGGAAGGGCUAAACAGUUUAUAUUGAUCUGGACAAAAAAGAGAAGAGAAGGGAUGGUGUGCUCAUUUUAAGAACUUUGAGGAUGAAAGAAUGGAUAUGUCUAACAAGGAUUUUAAAUCCGUACUAUGUGUUAUACAGCUUUACUUCUCCAUCUACCCAUGAGAUAAAUUGUCUGUAAAAUGUCCAUAUUUUAAUACGUUAAGGAGUUGCAUCUUUUUUGGGGUAGUGCCAAAAGUUGUCUUGUUUCAAGGUGAGUAGAUAACAAUAACAGAAACAACUCAUGCUUUCCCCCUCACCCUAACCUGUGUAUGUGUGUGUGUGUGUGUGUGUUCAAUGACCUAUAUUAAUAAUAAUUUCAGAAAUGGAGACAUGAUUGAAAUACAAAAGUGCCAAUUUGGGAUUUAUUAGGACAACAGCCCAGGAGACACCGAAUGAAGAAGGACUUGAAUUGUGUUCUAACUACAAAGUGUGGGAAACUUAUAAAGGCAAAAACCACAAGGUUAAUUAACAUGAGUGAGUGUUUUUCAAGAAUUAUUAUUGGAACUGUCAAGAAGUAAAGGUGUUUGUUAAGUUCGGAUUGGCUGGGGUCUGAAAUGAUUGCAUAGUUACAAGGGGAGGCCUUGAAACCAGGAGAUUGCAGCUGACAAUUGUUCUGAAUAUAGCUGGUGAUGUCCUUGGCACAAGUGAAAGAAAGUUCAGGUUCUCAGUGGCACAGAGACGUGUGUGAGACUAUAUCUUCUAUGGCUGCCCAAGUCCAUUUUUGUAUGCAUGCAAUGCCAUUGUUCUAUUAUAAUUUCAAUUUGCCAUGACCUGGAAACACCAGGGAAGAUGUGUUCCAAGACAUUGCCAGUCUGCAAAAGCUAGAGGAUUUAGGAGGUUUUAUGUAAGACCCCCAAAGCCACGAUCUGACCUUAAUAUUUCAGAAAGUAUAAGAUCCCUUUGAGCACAUCCUUUAUGGAGCUGGGAUAGAGGGGAAUAUAGUAGCCAGAUUUUUGACCUGUGGGUGCCAUAUUCACAUGCUCACCCCAACUUUAGUCCCCUCUAGUUUGAUUAGUUUGACAGGUUAGUUUGACUAGUUUGACAGGUUAGUUUUCAGGAGUCUGAGCACCAUUUUCCAAUGAAUGUUAAUUCUCUAAAUAUUACCAGCACAACCUGUUGAUAAAGCAAACUGAAUGAACUGCCAUUCCUAGGUGAGGGAGAACACCACCUCCACUGAGUAGUUCUCAGAGGAGAAAAGGCAAGGUUAAAUUUGUUUGAAAUAAGUUUAAGCUGUCUUUCAAUGAGAGAAUGUAAUUAGGACUGAGAAAAACCCAUGCUAUAACAGUCUAAAACUGCUAGAAGUGACAAGGCGAAGAUUUUGCAAAGGUCCGAAAACCUAAAGUAUCUCUUGAUACUUUUGAGAGGAAAUUCCAAAGUCUGCAGAAAGUCUUAUAAAGACGAAUCAAGUUAUUUGCCUGGGCAAUAUUUUCUGGAAUAGUAAGUUAUGCUGAUGAAAACAAUGGAAUAAACAGAAUAGUAAAAUCCUGUUAAUAUAGAUUAUAAUGUAGAUGUAGAUGUGGAUGUGCAUAUUGGUGGGGGAGUGGUUGGGUAGCUAGUUUUGAAGUUUGGGUUUUCACAUUUUUAUCCUGAGUGAGACAACCUUAGUAAAAUGUUCAAAAAUUUCUUCUUGCCUCAGUGCUUUUGAUAUUGCAUUCUUGAUUUACAGCAUUUAUUUAUUUAGUAUAUCUUUAUCCAAGGGGAAAUUCUCUGCCUAUAAAAUCUUAUUAAGUAUCUUAUAAAAUCAUGUGUUUUUGGUUCAAUUUGCACAGGUGAAGAACUAUAUAAUGGGAUGGUGACACAGUCUCAAGUUUCCUAGGAUUUCAAAGUCUUUUUUAAGAUGUCAUCUUACUUAGACCAUGGUCUGAAUGGAGAAACCACCUAUAUUAAGAAUCUUAGUCAAGAUUUCUGCUUGUUAAGUCUGGUGGCAGUUAAAAAAAUACGAAGUAUUUAUUUCAUAAGCCUGAGCAUUCAUGUUCUUAAAUUUUAAGACUCCAUUGUCAUGGGCAGAGGUCUAUCUUAAGAACCUCUGAAAAUUCCACAUUGUGUGGAAAUCUAUUCAUCAAAAUACUUUCUGGGGAUUUACUCUGGAAUUCUGAGGGAUGUUAUUUAAAUCCUCCAUGUCCAGGGACCACUACUCAACAUCUCUUGGAUAUAAUCUGACAACUAUGGGAAUAGAAAUUAUUUAGGGCCUCAGCUGACUCAAUUUAACAUUAUCUUUAGGUGAGCAGAUGUCAGUGGGUGGGAUGGUGUUCAUGAAAUGUUCAUGAUUUUCAUGGUAUCAUUAGGCUGGUCUUGGGAUCUCAGAAGUUAUUUCAAUUGAGAUGGGAUCAGAAACAAACUGAAGAUAUUUCAACCAGUGACUCAGUUUAUUCAGGGAAAUUAAAUGUGGAGGAAGGACAAAGUUUUGGGGGGAAGCCCACGUAAGGAGAGGCCAUACUAUUUCUUUGAGGGACCUGAAACCUUAUUUAUUCCUUCAUUAAUUCAACUUUCAAAGGCAAUGGCUUGAAGGCUAAAGGACCUACUAAAUCCUACUGUGUUAGAGAAAUAAAAAGAAGCCAGCUUAAGUUUGUGUUUGAGGGAGGCAAGACCAUGAAAUUGCUUAGAGCUUUGCCUUGUGAUAAAUUUGAUGUAAAGAAUGUAGGCUAUACCCUUGGAUAUAGGCUACUCAAUUCCCAAUUAUGAUGCUAGAAAUGCAGGAACUAAGAGAGGGACUUGGGGGUCAAUAACUAUAUUUGGUCCAGUGGAAAGAGGGAUCAAAUGAUACUAGAUAUGUGAAUGGAGUAUUAAUGGGAGUAAGGGAAAUUCUGAAAUUACCUGGUAAUUAGGAGGGUCCAUCGUUUAAAAAUUCUGCCUGAAUAUUUAAUGUGUUAUUCAUCAAGAGAACUUAGUCAGUUUGCAUUACUUAUGAAAAGUAUUUCCUGGAGUUCCUGUCGUGGCACAGUGGUUAACGAAUCCGACUAGGAACCAUGAGGUUGCGGGUUCGAUCCCUGGCCUUGCUCAGUGGGUUAACGAUCCAAUGUUGCCAUGAGCUGUGGUGUAGGUUGCAGAUGCGGCUCAGAUCCUGCGUUGCUAUGGCUCUGGUGUAGGCUGGUGACUAUGGCUCCGACUGGACCCCUAGCCUGGGAAUCUCCAUAUGCCGCGGGAGC
rnacentral:lncRNA from 1 species